AGAGCCACACGCGCGCCUCCCCGCGCCCACGUCUCGGAUGCUCCCUGAAAACCCCGACGGCAACGGUGGCGGCUGCGGGAGCCAUGGCGCACCGCGCGUGCCGGAGUCUCCCGGAAUCGAUCGCGGCCGCAUUCGGCUGCGCGGCGAUCCCCUCCUCCUUUUAUCCAACGCAGAGGUCUCUCUCGCGCCCCCCGCACUGGUGAACUCGCCGCCCGGCUGGCUCCGCUCAAGUUAACUUGUUAUAUUGCGUCUACUACCCGCGUAAGUAAACAGGCAUUUAUGCACUGUUACUUUCAAGAAAGGAGAUCAGCUUCCACUUCCAUUCGAUGUGGAUAGCUAACAGGUCAACAUUAAUUCGUAAGAGAAGUCAUGGUCAAGCCUGCCCAAAUUGCCCAUCCCCUUUGCGUGCAGGGAGAACAGUAGUUUCCACAAACCAGAGAAUUAAUGCAAGAUUUCCCAGGCUGCGGAGUGGCAGACACUCUCAGUGCAGGGAGGGGAUUAGGGUUUGAUUUUUCUUUAACUGAUUAAUUGGUAAUUAAUUCACCGGCCCUGCCAAAAUUCUCUGAACCGAGAUGGUUCACAGGUAAGUUCUUAUUCAGUUCUACUUUUAAUUUUUUGUCACUGGGAGUUGAGAGAACUACGUUACUAAGAAAGUCAACACUGUAUAUGUUGCUGUGUAUAGACGUUAAGAUAGAGGUCUUAUCACGUGCUCUCAUGAUGCAUAUCUUAACUAGGAAGGCAAGAAAUACUGUGCUCUAAGACUUUCCUUUUUUUCCUGAAAAAUAUAGUACCAACUUGCAGUUGUAGUGUUAUAUUUACAGAAAACUUUUUACUUUUCACAGCAUCAAUGAAUCUUGUGAAAAAAUCGGUGUUAGACCCUGCUAUCUCGAUAAAAAAAUUAUCUCAUGCCGUAAUGGAUGAUGUUUUGCAUGGAAAAAUCACUGAAUCGCUACAUGAUUGCUUACUACCUUGCAUAAGGCAGAAGAUGCUGAAAUUACAUUGUUCUAGAAGCAAUGCAAUUAAAUUAUUGGAAUUUGAAACAAUGGUCUAAUGACGUGCUCCAUUAAAACCUUGACAUGGACGGUAAGACUUUGCUUAAAAUUAUUUAUGUGAAUGUGGAAAAAUACCUCUUAUCUUAUCCAUUAAAAAGUAUUGCUGAAGAGAGAUUUAGUCAUACACCAAAGUAUCUCUUGUUUUGUAGUACAUAGAAGCGAAAACUACGUGCAUCUGGUGGGCAGCAGGCCCUGGUUGCUGACAUCAUUCGAUUAAAAAUUUCUUCCUAUAUGAUAUCUAUCCACCCUUUGAAUUUUAUAAUCUUUUAGUUUGGAAUCAAUGAUUGGUACAUAACUCAAAUCAGGGACAUGCAUAAUAUAUUACAUGUGUACUACUCUUGCCAACCACACACUAAAAUAUAUGAUUUUGCUCAAUUGUCUGUUUUGCUGACGCAACGCCAGAUGCACGCACUCCUGAGCUUUUUCAGCAUUCUUCUUAACUUUUUAUGAUCCUUUGCACAGUUUUUUUUUAAGAAAAUGAAUUGUGGGUGUUAAAGGUAGCAAAGGUGGUGCCUGAUUGUGUUGUGGUUGGUGCCUGAAUGUGUAGGGUAUUAUAUAUAGUAGAUAGUACACAAAAUAUAUUGUAUGUGUCUCAAAUGGGAGGUUGGCUUAUAGCACUAGAAAUUCUCUCGUGAUAUUCUACAUUAGUAUGUGUCUUCUCUUGUACUCUUCUACUCCAUUAUAGUGUAUCAUAAACAAUAUGGGGCUGCCCUCUGAGGGAAAGCACCAUGCUGGUUCACAUCAUCUAAAUUAUUUUGACGAGUGUAUCUUAGAAUAAAUGGAAUCCCAAUCCUAGAUCUUAUCAGGUGGAUAUAUAUUGCCCUUGGACGUUUAGGUGUAACCGUUGUACAUACGAUACCACGCUCUCAUAUUGGCGUGCUCCCCACAUUGCCUAAUAAUAUUAUAUUAAGUUACUGUUUUUGAGUUUAAAGGCAACAUUGGGUUGCAAGAUACUGAUAGAAAUUUUGCAGAAGUUUUAUCCUAUUUUUGUUUCCUACAUAGGGUAGUUUCAACUGUAGAAAUACACUGUAAAACUCAUAUCAAAUGCUUUCUUAAUCCUCCAACAUGAGCAGGAACACCAUGUCACCUCAAAUAUUUAUAUAGUUUGACUUGGCAUGUAAACAUGAUUAGAGUGACAUUACUUAUUGGAUUCUAGAGAAAUCAAAGCCAUUUCGUUUCAAUUCAAUUACCAAAAGGAAUUUCAUAUCCAAAAUGUGUAGACAUUAAUUCCUUCGAAGAAAUCCUGUAAUCCAAGGGUCCCUCGAGCAAUUUGUCCUCUUUUGAAUUAUUCUCACUUUUCCUAGUUUUUUUGUUGUAAAAAGAGAAGUGGACUGUUUAAUUGAUUUGAGAAUCAGGUGGCUCAUAGCCAAUCAGGCAGCAACAUAUAUACGAUCAUAUAUAUCUAUGUCGAGGAAAAGAGCGGACUACUGGCCCAUCACCACGUACGUUGUCCUUCCAACCAAAUUUAAGGUGUCGUUGUGAUGGAGCAACCACGAUGAUGAAUGUGAUCCCUGAAACCAAACAUAGUAUAAUUGCAGCCUUAUGGAGUCAGAUCGUCGAGCAACACGAAUUAGAUGUGGCUUUGACUGAUUGAUUUCAGAGAAGGUAUUCUUCAUUGACAGUUAUAUUCUUUUAAACAUCGAUAUCGUACACGCACAAGAUAGGAGUAUAUAUACAUCUCAUUCAUUUAACCACUCUGCACUAUUAGGAAAUACGUAGGAGUACAAGUAAAGUACAGCGCGCCAUUUGCCAAAUCAAAAUAAUGUACACUGUUGGUAAAAUUACAUGGACGUACAGUAAGUCCUCCCUAACCAAAUGAAACCGGUCGUACGUA